CCUCCCUAUGGGCAAGCAGAACACACCAGGGUUUAGAGCAUGCAACAACAGAAUUAUGCUCUGUGCCUCGGGACAGCAUUCUGUCUGAGAUGUGACCUGAACAAGGUGGAUCACCAACCACUACUGUGAGGAAAGAUGCCCAGAUCCAGCUUCCUACACCUGUUACUGCUUCCUACGAGCAUCUUCCAUGGGGAUGACAAGCCAGAGGUUCAAAGGCAAAGAACACAAGGAAGACCAUCUGACAGCAAACAUUGUUUGCAGAACGUGGAGGCACAUUACAGUGAACCUGGUGUAUUUUCAUUACCUGAAGUCAGACUCCAGCUCGGUGGUGGAGUGGUUGAUCAUGGCACAGAGACAGUCUAUGCUGGAGCUGGACAGAGCACGCCCAAUGCACUUCUUCACUAUAUAAAACACAUCAUCCACCAUGCUGGAGGUGAGCUGGCCCUUCUCAUAGCUGUCCAUGGCAACAGCCUGCAAAGAAAGCUGUCUCAGUGCCUUGGGCUCAGUCAGCGGCGCUGCCCCAGCAGUGCUGAGAGGCCAAACUGCCCAUCUUCCCCCUUCACCCUGAGUGGCUGGCACCCCUCAGACUAGUUUGCAGUAGCCCACAGACCUGGAAGAUACCCUGGGGUAUGUCUGAAGUCAAAAUUCAGAAACAACCACUUGCUUUUCAAGGCCAAGGGAAACAAAAGACUUCCCUGACAACUGCAAACUUGCCGUGUACACAUAACCCUCCCUUGGGAUGCUCACCAGAGGACUGAGGAGCACACACAGAGAAGCAUUUAGGAGGUUCUCCCCUACCUUGUUGACAGUCUCCCUCAUGAAGUAUUCCUCCAUGGUGAUGUAGUAGCCAAUGAGCUCUUGCAUGGUGCAACUCAGCAGACAGUUGUUGAGGAGCUUGUCCAGGUAUUUUUGAUGCUCUGUGGAACACAAGAGAGACCCAUCAGCAGGAACCCAGGGCCAGGAGGCAGCUCCACCAAGUCCCUUGCUGCCUGUCUCAUGGGCACCUAAUGGACAGACACUUGCCAGGCCCAACCUAGAACAAAUCACAAGCCUCAACUGUGGAGCUGAAAUUGCUGAGCUGGAUUUUGCAGGUGGCCAAAGUGCUUUCCAGAGCUCUACAGAGUACCAAAACCUCGAGCCUGUUUUUCCAUGGCCUCCACCCUUAGGAUUUGUGCCUGCAGUGACCAAACAGCUCUUCCUCUCUUUGGGGACUUUAGUUUGUUAUACCCUCCAGUCAUUCUUAAUGUUGGUUUCCCUGUUAGAGGGAACAACCAGUGUUGAAAACAGGUUUGGAAAGGCCAGACUACACAAUCAUCUUCCACAGAGCACUCCCAAAGUGUCUUUGCAGACCCUGUGUCACUCUGCUCUGCCACUAACUCAGGUAUAUCUCAAUUUCUGGCUUUGAUGAGCAGAGCUUAUGAGUAUUGGUACUCAAGGUGUUACCUUGCUUUACCUCCUCUGAGGCCAUGGCAUCUCCCACCUCAAAAUCAGCUAUUAUUCGUCUCUUGAUGAACCUCAAGUAGAGCUCACUGCGGGCAUUCAUCAGAGUGACUUCUGUUAAAAUAGGGUCAAGCUCCCUGGAAGAAAUAGCAAGAAUCAAGACAGCAAGACUACAAAAGGAGAGGCACUAAUUCAAUUCAGUUAAGUAGUGUGUUCUCCAUUCUCUCACUAUGAGAUCAAUACUGCCCCUUUCCAUCUGUGCCAUCGAGUAGCAAAGCUCAGCAGAAAAAGUGGUAUGUGCAAAGCAUGCACACACAAUCAAAAUAUCCCCCUAAAAUCAUCUCCCAGGAGGUAUCUCUACAAUACUGCUUUUUUCUCACAAACUCUACUCCAAGAUUUAGCAACACUCCCCCUCUUUUUUCCUCAUAGAUGUGAGGACAUCCACGUCGAAAUCACAUUGGUAAGGACUGCAAGACUCAAAGCAAUUUCAUGUAACUUCAAAAUGAGCCCUGUUUUGAGUGGGAGGUUUGACUAGAGAUCUUCAUCAGUCCUUUCCUACCUCAGUUUUUCUACAAUUCUGUGAGCCCUAUGUUGCUAACGUUAGAAAUGCCUGGUCCCUGCCAUCUCCACAUAUGUGUUUUUGUGCACAGAUUCAUGUGUUUCUCUGAAGAUGAUAAAGAAUCUGUUUAAGCUCAACAGCUCAGGAAAUGUGAUACAAAAAAAGCAUCUUACAAUGCAGAACACAGUGUUCAGAUCAGAGAUGACUAUGAAAAAAAGAGAGACUGACACAUCAGCUUUUUCAUCAGCGUGCAGAGAAUUUAACAAAUCCUGCUUGAAGCCUCACGGUGCACGAGUGGGAGAAGGAAAGAUCAUCUUUAUUUUACAGAUGAAAAAGAAAAAAAUCAGAAAACUGGAAUACAUGCAGAGUUACUCAGAGCAAAUAGUAAGUGGAUAUUACUGCUGAAAUAAUAAUUAUGCAGGCUCACAGACAGAUCUUCCUUGAAGAACCUAAGUUUUCUUUCAAGGUAUGUUUGUAAUUCAGGCAGUCCCAGAAGGGCUGGGUGCACUUUCAAAUGGCCUUGCUUGAGGGUUAUGUAAAUAUUUAUGAUAAGAAGAAAAAGAGGGAGUUUAAAGCACUGCAGUUCAUUAUCAAGAAACUGACGGUACAGAGCUGCUGCAGCAGCAGUAUAGAUUAAAUAAGACCCAAAUAUUUAUUCCUGAUUCUGUCACAAAUUAUCUGUCCAGGGAGCUGCUCCGUUUUGUGGGCUCCAAGGCCAUGAAAGAGUAGCGGGCACAGGCAGUUAAAAUCUCAGUCCUUCAUGUGUGGUGAUAUUGCCAACCCUCCAGGAAUGCUUAGAGCCAAGGCUUAGAAGUAAUGACUAAGCAAAAUAAAGCCCCACUACAGAAGUUUCCUUUAUAGAAGGGCAAUGAAGGGCACCUAACAAUUGGAUUUUAUGAGUUAAUAGCUGCAAAGCUUCUGGAAAGAGUGGGAGAGUUAUCUAAAUGCUAGGUAGUGUUAAUAACAACUCAAGAGCGAAAGGUUAGAGAGCAUGAAGAGUUUUUCUUUGUACCUUGGUUCAAUUUUCUCUGCAGAAGAACUUCUCAUCAUGCUAUUCUGGACUUGCUGGAACUGCAAUCACAAAAGAAAGGGAGAGUCAUCAGUCUUUGCUGAUGACUUGGAGUUACCAGCCACUUCUCGUGCUAUAGCCUAAGGAAGUGCUUACUCACUGGGGGUGAUAGGCAUGCUUUGCAGGAAGCACUGCCAGAGAAGGGAACCACAUCAGUUCGCUUCCUCCUCCUCCAAGGCAGAGCUCAUCCUGCCAGCAAAGGUGGUGGGAUGGGACUUGACCAGAGGCACCAAGGUGUGUGACCAUGAGACAGUUGCAGCAGUCCUGCAUCUAAGCAGGAACAAGACAGUGGGGAAACUGUACUGAAAGCACCCUACAGACCUGCACAGCAAAGAAUGACCAGGGGGCAUUUACUAUGCUCCAAAUGAAUCCUCCUCUGCAUCAGAAAGCACAGCUACAGGCUGAACCCCUUCCCCUACCAGGGUAAAAAUGGAGCAAAGCAAGGUUUCUCUCAAUACACAGGGUCAAACUCUGCUGCCUCUACAGCAGUGGGAGCCCCACAGAACUGGAUGGAGGGCACCAUUGGCUGCAUCAGGCAGCCUCACACUGCUCUUACCUGCCUGUGAUAGUCCCUCUCCUUGAUGAACUUGUCCACCACCUUCUCCACCUGCCGGUCGCACUCCAGCUGCAGGUGCUUGAUGAGGGUGUAGAGCCUCCCUGGCCCAUAGUAGGUCUCCACGAUGGGCUGGUGGGUCUCCACAAUGCGAGCAAUCCCUGUGGGGACAGGGGAGAGAACCAGCAGUUCCCAGAGCACAGCAGAGCUACACAGGUCCACAGACCAGACCUAACAAAGGAUCAUUCACUCCACAGAUAAAGAGUGCAAAUCUCCUGGAGCAGAAGCCAUCUCUCUGUCCCUAAAGAGAACUCCUGCCAUGCCCUGUGUGCCAGCUGCCCUUCAGCCCAGCAAGAUACAAGCUCCCAUGGUGCUUCUUGAAGAGCCAGGCCUGGAGGCACCAACAGCUGCUCAUCCCUAAGGGAUCUGAUUUGUUUGUCUGGAGAGCUGCAAGUCUGAAGAAACCUCCAGGGAAUACCCAUUUGUUUUGAGGAUGCAGAAAACAGGAAGAGUCUGAUACAUAGAGGAAACCAACAAAUCCUUUGCAAAUCCACUUCAUGCCUGUGCAAGAUGUCCACAGGAAAACUGGUUUAUUGUGAUGCCCUCUUCUGGCUGGAAUAAAUUCAGCUAGCUGCGUCCCUGUCCCUCAAGUGUGAGACACCUGUAGCUCAAAGGGCAAUGAGGCAUUUAAAAUUAAAAGCAUUUAAAUUGAGGGACCGUCUCAUCACGGACUAUUCGCAAUCAAUCAGGAGAGAGGAAAGGAAGAUUACCUUCGAAGAGGAGUGUCAGGGUGUCUGCAAAGAUGACAGCAGCUCGACGGUCACUCAUGUCUGUUCCCAUCACCAGCUGCAGGUUCUCUUCUGCUUUGUUGGCCACCUGCAUGACAACAGGACCAGUCAGCUGAACACCCAAAGGAGACCAGCACUGUGCAGUCCCAAGCUGAGAAGGCAGAAUACACACUGGAAUUCCUCUACUGGCAAAGACAGACAGGUUGGUGUGUGAUGUAAUGUGAUUUUGCAUGGAGGAUGAUGACACAUCAACUGGGAUUUUCCUCUUAGCAAUUUACUCCUUCAUUUCAGUUGCUCUGCUUGGUAGCACACUGUAACACAAGAACAAUUCUCCUUGACAGAGCCUUCUCCCUCACUUCUUCUGGUCUGAACAUUUUGUCCUUUGCUUAGUUAGCACCUAAAAUACUAUUACAGCUGUGUGCCAGGAACUGCCCUUCCAAUUAAUGAUAAUUCUGAUGUAAUAACACUUCAAAAAUGCUCAUCUCUCAGUCAGUCUAUAAAAUACCAAGACCACUGGCCUGCAUUACAUCUUCUGCUUUUUCUGUUGGGCUGAGGCAACCUACCAUGGGAAAUGAGCAGUCUCUAGAUAUCCACUGGAAAGGUGACUCAUCAGUAUGUCCUCACAAACAGUGCUUACCUUCCUUGCC